rnacentral:tRNA from 5 species
AGCAUGUUAGCUCAGCAGGUAGAGUGUCGGGCUCAUAUCCCGGAGGUAAGUACCCAAGGUUCACACAUUAACAAUCGACAAUACUAAACUAACAAUGAAUACAGGCCCCUGGAUCGAAACCAGGACAUGCUA